rnacentral:rRNA from 1 species
CCUACGGGAGGCAGCAGUGGGGAAUAUUGGGCAAUGGGCGCAAGCCUGACCCAGCAACGCCGCGUGAAGGAAGAAGGCUUUCGGGUUGUAAACUUCUUUUGUCAGGGAAGAGUAGAAGACGGUACCUGACGAAUAAGCCACGGCGAACUACGUGCCAGCAGCCGCGGUAAUACGUAGGUGGUAAGCGUUGUCCGGAUUUACUGGGUGUAAAGGGCGUGUAGCCGGGUUGAAAAGUCAGAUGUGAAAUCCUGCGGCUUAACCGCAGAACUGCAUUUGAAACUGUUGAUCUUGAGUACUGGAGAGGCAGACGGAAUUCCUAGUGUAGCGGUGAAAUGCGUAGAUAUUAGGAGGAACACCAGUGGCGAAGGCGGUCUGCUGGACAGCAACUGACGGUGAGGCGCGAAAGCGUGGGGAGCAAACAGGAUUAGAUACCCCAGUAGUC